rnacentral:rRNA from 1 species
GACGAACGCUGGCGGCGUGCUUAACACAUGCAAGUCGAACGAUGAAGCUGGAGCUUGCUCUAGCGGAUUAGUGGCGAACGGGUGAGUAACACGUGAGCAAUCUGCCCUUGACUCUGGGAUAACUGCGGGAAACUGUAGCUAAUGCCGGAUACUUUCACCGGGGGGCAUCCUCUGGUGAUGAAAGAAUUUCGGUCAAGGAUGAGCUCGCGGCCUAUCAGCUUGUUGGUGAGGUAACGGCUCACCAAGGCGACGACGGGUAACCGGCCUGAGAGGGUGACCGGGCACACUGGGACUGAGACACGGUCCAGACUCCUACGGGAGGCAGCAGUGGGGAAUAUUGCACAAUGGGCGCAAGCCUGGUGCAGCAACGCCGCGUGAGGGAUGAAGGCCUUCGGGUUGUAAACCUCUUUUAGCAGGGAAGAAGCGAAAGUGACGGUACCUGCAGAAAAAGCACCGGCUAACUACGUGCCAGCCGCCGCCGUAA